CCUACGGGAGACAGCAGUGAGGAAUAUUGGUCAAUGGACGGAAGUCUGAACCAGCCAUGCCGCGUGCAGGAUGCCGGCUCUAUGAGUUGUAAACUGCUUUUGUACGAGAAUAAUAGUUCUUACGUGUAUGGAUUUGAAUGUACCGUACGAUUAAGGAUCGGCUAACUCCGUGCCAUCAGCCGCGGUAAUACGGAAGAUUAGAGCGUUAUCCUGAUUUAUUGGGUUUAAAGGGUGCGUGAGCUGGCGGUUAAGUUAGAGGUCAAAUGUCGGGGCUUAACCCCUUGCCUGCCUCUGAUAGUGUUGAACUAGAGAGCGAAAGCAGCAGGCGGAAUGAGUAGUGUAGCGGUGAAAUGCUUAGAUAGUACUCAGAACACCGAUUGCGCAGGCAGCUUGCUAAUCCGCAUCUGACGCUGAUGCACGAAAGCGUGGGUAGCGAACAGGAUUAGAUACCCUAGUAGUC
rnacentral:rRNA from 1 species